CUUGCUUCUCUUGAGAGCGGCGGACGGGUGAGUAAUGCCUAGGAAUCUGCCUGGUAGUGGGGGAUAACGUCCGGAAACGGACGCUAAUACCGCAUACGUCCUACGGGAGAAAGCAGGGGACCUUCGGGCCUUGCGCUAUCAGAUGAGCCUAGGUCGGAUUAGCUAGUUGGUGGGGUAAUGGCUCACCAAGGCGACGAUCCGUAACUGGUCUGAGAGGAUGAUCAGUCACACUGGAACUGAGACACGGUCCAGACUCCUACGGGAGGCAGCAGUGGGGAAUAUUGGACAAUGGGCGAAAGCCUGAUCCAGCCAUGCCGCGUGUGUGAAGAAGGUCUUCGGAUUGUAAAGCACUUUAAGUUGGGAGGAAGGGCAGUAAAUUAAUACUUUGCUGUUUUGACGUUACCGACAGAAUAAGCACCGGCUAACUCUGUGCCAGCAGCCGCGGUAAUACAGAGGGUGCAAGCGUUAAUCGGAAUUACUGGGCGUAAAGCGCGCGUAGGUGGUUCGUUAAGUUGGAUGUGAAAUCCCCGGGCUCAACCUGGGAACUGCAUUCAAAACUGACGAGCUAGAGUAUGGUAGAGGGUGGUGGAAUUUCCUGUGUAGCGGUGAAAUGCGUAGAUAUAGGAAGGAACACCAGUGGCGAAGGCGACCACCUGGACUGAUACUGACACUGAGUGCGAAAGCGUGGGGAGCAAACAGGAUUAGAUACCC
rnacentral:rRNA from 1 species